GAUGAACGCUGGCGGCGUGCCUAAUACAUGCAAGUCGAGCGAACGGACGAGAAGCUUGCUUCUCUGAUGUUAGCGGCGGACGGGUGAGUAACACGUGGAUAACCUACCUAUAAGACUGGGAUAACUUCGGGAAACCGGAGCUAAUACCGGAUAAUAUUUUGAACCGCAUGGUUCAAAAGUAAAAGACGGUCUUGCUGUCACUUAUAGAUGGAUCCGCGCUGCAUUAGCUAGUUGGUAAGGUAACGGCUUACCAAGGCAACGAUGCAUAGCCGACCUGAGAGGGUGAUCGGCCACACUGGAACUGAGACACGGUCCAGACUCCUACGGGAGGCAGCAGUAGGGAAUCUUCCGCAAUGGGCGAAAGCCUGACGGAGCAACGCCGCGUGAGUGAUGAAGGUCUUCGGAUCGUAAAACUCUGUUAUUAGGGAAGAACAUAUGUGUAAGUAACUGUGCACAUCUUGACGGAACCUAAUCAGAAAGCCACGGCUAACUACGUG
rnacentral:rRNA from 1 species